rnacentral:misc_RNA from 1 species
AAAACAUGGAUGUUUGCAACUUCCCAUUACUAUUAGAACCCACUGGGAGUGGCAUCUAGCAAGCGGCAAACAAAUGUCUUUACCCCUUUGACCCAAGUCAAAACGCUGCUGGUCUGUUUGUUUGCCGAGAAAACCGAGGAAAAGAGAAGAAGAAACCGUCUCUUUAAUUUUUAUUUUGUUCCUUUUUCCACUGUUUUUCCGGCACCCAAAUGCAGCACCAGUACUCAAGUAUCCCAAGAACCGUAUUCGAGCUAUUGUAAUUAGUUAUUAUUUUACUCUCUCCCUCUUUCUUUGUAGUUAUCGAAUACUUGGCCUUGCUCAAUUGCGAAGGAGAAGUGAAAGCUAUUAUUGAUAUUUUUUAUGGGUUUUGUUUGUUUUUGUUGAUUUUGUGGGUUUCAUAUUUGUUUAUGGCUUUUUUUCUUUAAAUUUUUUAACAUGUAUGGUUUCUCUUCUGUUCUGCAGCUUUUUCCAUACGUGGCUAAUUCUGUUCCUUAAUUAUCAGGUUCUGUUUGGGUUUCUUUAUUGCCGAUUAGAUUCAUGUUUGGAAAACUUACUAGCUAUUUUUCUUUUGCCCUAAUAUCAAGAAUUAAAAGCAUAGCUUUAUAUAGUUGUUAAUGUAUUUCAUUAAUUAAAACGUGCUUUUUCUUGGUAUUUGCCUUGGAUAAUGUAUCCGGUUCCUAGCGUUGGACUUUCAGUCUUGCUCGUUUCUUGUAUUACCCUGAGCAUAGGACACUAGAGAAAGACUCAGCUUGCAUGAAUUCGAAGAUUUUAUAAUCUAUAAUAAUUUUCCUUUUUCUUAGGUUGCUUAGUGAAUUCUUAUAUACAAAAUUAAACAUACUGAUGGUUGAAAACGAGAUGAAAUGAGAAACUGUAUAUGCACCUUGUGCAUGCUAGAAGUCACAUAACACUUUUGCAGCUUACAUUUAUUUUUCUUCAGAGGAUGGUCAUGUACCCUUAAAACUGACCUCAUUAGCUUUGGCAUCAUCAAUUUCUGCAGAUCUCUGUUUAAAAUUUAUGUUAUGAAAUAAGAUUUAUUUCUCAAAUAUUCUUGAUUCAUAAUGUGAAUCAACCAAAGGACAGUUUCCCUGCAUUUUGAGUUGUAAUCCCCUUAUCAAAACAUUUGUUAACAUAUGACUAAGGUGUGGAUGUAACAGAUUGCCAUUCAGUUUUUUAGUUUAGGUUGAGGAAAAAUGUCAAUUUUGUAUUAAUUGAGUUUCUUGAAUAGCAGUCCGCUGCCUAUGGGUUGUUCUGGUAUUAGGAUCCAUAGCAGCAAAGUCUAAAUGUUUCAAAUAUGGAGCAGAGAUGAGAUGACAGGCAAAGCUGGUGAAAACGGAUGACAGAAUGCCUUAACAGAUGGCAGAAACUUUCUUAUUUGGAGCAAGAAAUUCAAAUGGAUUUACAUAAAUCUAUGUUGUGUAUUUGCUUUGUGUGCACAAGUGUUUCUUGAGUUCGGUUAAAUUGCCUUCCCUUGUUGAUGAAUGGAGCUAGAUAAAGAAUAAAUUCUGCAACCUUUUCUUCUCAAUGUAUUGGUGGAAAAUGUGCUCAAUAAAGGUAACCUUAGGUACUGGGAUAAAUGAAGGUUUGGUCAACAAUGAAUCAUUACCCUCAUAUAGUAGCCCUUUGUGCUUCGUUUUUUAGCUUACUCAACCUGCCAUGGAAUUUUGUUUUCUUGACGUAUAGCAUAUUUAGUUUAUUGCUUUUAUUAGAAUUUUACUUGCCCAUCUACAGGUCACUUGGUACACUCUUUCACUUCCACAACCAUUUGGUUAGGUUGAGGUAGCUGGCUUUUCAGUUGAUUGCUGGGUUAAAGGUUAUGUAUCUAAAUUGCUCAUCUAGACUGCAAAGUCACUAGCUUAUUUACUUGGCGUUAGAAUCUUUUCAGAAAUAAAAUAUAUGUGCAGUUAUGAAAAUUGUGAUGUUCUGCAGUUGACUUUAGGACAGAUCACAUAGCCACUUUAUUUUAACUCCAUACUAAGAGACCAAAAGCUAUAUUGAAUAUGAGUACUGAAGUGUAGAAAGGUGGGGGACUAGGGACUUGUAGUUCUGCAGUUGACUUCAGAGCAGAUUACAGGUCCAUGUAUUUUAAUUAUUGAAACAGAACAAGAAAAAACUGAAACUUGGAAGUGUCUGGUUGACUCCAGGACAGAUACAAGGCCAGAUUUUAAUCUCAAUAUUUGGAUACAAAGCGAGAAUCAUACCACUAGACCAAAUGCCCAUUUAUUACGUUUGUUUAAUUUAUUGCUACAAGAAGGAUUCCAUAAUUACUUUUGUAAUUUAUAUUUUCACAAACAAAUUGUUGUACUUGCUGUUAUUUUCAUGUAAACCAUGCAUGUCAAAUUUUAGAUCAAC